GACGAACGCUGGCGGCGUGCUUAACACAUGCAAGUCGAACGGAAAGGCCCUGCUUUUGUGGGGUGCUCGAGUGGCGAACGGGUGAGUAACACGUGAGUAACCUGCCCUUGACUUUGGGAUAACUUCAGGAAACUGGGGCUAAUACCGGAUAGGAGCUCCUGCUGCAUGGUGGGGGUUGGAAAGUUUCGGCGGUUGUGGAUGGACUCGCGGCUUAUCAGCUUGUUGGUGGGGUAGUGGCUUACCAAGGCUUUGACGGGUAGCCGGCCUGAGAGGGUGACCGGCCACAUUGGGACUGAGAUACGGCCCAGACUCCUACGGGCGGCAGCAGUGGGGAAUAUUGCACAAUGGGCGGAAGCCUGAUGCAGCAACGCCGCGUGCGGGAUGACGGCCUUCGGGUUGUAAACCGCUUUCGCCUGUGACGAAGCGUGAGUGACGGUAAUGGGUAAAGAAGCACCGGCUAACUACGUG
rnacentral:rRNA from 1 species